rnacentral:tRNA from 1 species
GCCUGGGUGGCUCAGUUGGUUAAGCGUCUGACUUCGGCUCAGGUCAUGAUCUCAUAGUCCGUGAGUUCAAGCCCCACGUCGGGCU